rnacentral:rRNA from 1 species
UACGUAGGGAGCAAGCGCUAUCCGGAUUUACUGGGUGCAAAGGGCGCGUAGGCGGGAUGGCAAGUCAGAUGUGAAAUCCAGGGGCUCAACCCCUGAACUGCAUUUGAAACUGUCGUUCUUGAGUACUGGAGAGGUUGACGGAAUUCCUAGUGUAGCGGUGAAAUGCGUAGAUAUUAGGAGGAACACCAGUGGCGGAGGCGGUCAACUGGACAGCAACUGACGCUGAGGCGCGAAAGCGUGGGGAGCAAACAGG